AUUCUUACCUGGCAGGAGAGACACCAUGAUCACAAAGGUGGUUUUCCCAGGGCGAGGCUUAUCCAUUGCACGCUGGAUGUCCUGACCUUGCGAUUUCCCCAAAUGCAGGAAACCCGACUGAUAAUGUGUGGUAGCAGGGGACUGCCUUCACACUCUCGCCUC